CCGACGCCGGACUGCGCAUCGGGUCGGAGCAAAGAAAAAGUCACUCGCACCCCCCCCCGUCAACAACUCUUCUCGGCUCGAUGCCGGCUCGAUGCCGGCUCGAUCUCGGCUCGAUGCCGGCGCACGCAACGCUGUUGCGUUUUUUUUUACGGUGUGGGGGAUUGGGGGUGCGUGAAUCCGGUCGGGAUGUAGAAGGGGGUGCGUGGCCUAAAAAGUUUGGGAACCGCUGCCCUAACCCAACCCCCGAACCCAACCCCCUAACCCGACCCUAACCCAGACAUGGGCAAACUACGGCCCGUUAGGCUUUUUAAUCCGGCCCGCCGAACUUGUCCAAAUCGCAGCUUUGUUUACUUCCGGUGUGCGUUGGCGGAAAGUACUCGUCACACGAAACCCUUCACCGUGAUUUGUCAAUCCGUUUGUCUGUCAACAUUUUGCGAAAAAAACAACCAAUGAACACUCAGUAAAUCACAAAGGACCCGCCCACCACACAGGUGAGGCUCAUUUAGUAACAGCUGCAGUGAUUUUGGCGAGCAGCGCGGAGCCUGGAGGAGCUGCAGAGCCACGAGGAGGAACACGCAGCCAGAAGAGAUCCACCUGGACCGGAGAGGAUUCACCAGCGCCUGCAGCUCCACCUGCCCGGCCAGCAGAGAGGUCUCGUGACACGAUGACAUGAUGUUUUUAUAGUGAAGCCAUAUUGUAAAUAGUCUGUGUCAAUAGUUGUGUUCUGUUUUCUAUUUCUCAACAUGUAUAUCAUGUAGUUUUAUUUAUUUAUUUAUGUACAAUACAUAUUUAUUUGAAGAAAAAAAAAUGUAAUGGGCAUUUUUAUUUGCACACACCUCAUGAAGCUUUAUCUGCAAGAUGAAGUAAUUUCUCAGUCCCAUCUUUAUCAUUUUGGUGAAUGUGUGACGGACCACAUGUCUACGCAAAAAACGAUAACACAAAAUGUAGUUUUCUACAUUUAUUUACAUGUAUCUAGCAUUGUAUUCAGAUAUUUCACUGCUUUUGUGAACCUAUGACCUUUUUGGUAAACCAAUUUCAAAAACCAAAACAGUUGGUCCACAUGAGUAAAGCUGUGUUUUCAGAAGCGAUAUGAAGAAUUUUUAAAAAUCGAACUUCAAUUUU